ACCCCUGUGGGCAAACGGGAAAGUCGCCUGACUUAGGAUCAGGAGUUUUGUGGGUUCGACUCCCACCAGGGGUA
rnacentral:tRNA from 1 species